CCUGACACGGUGGCAUAUUUAUUUACAGGUCGAUUUUCAGAACGUGGCAUUUAAACUUUUGCAAGGAAAUAGGUGGACGAAAUUGUUUGAAACAACAUUGACGCUAUUGUAAAAAGCUUCAAAAAUGUGUGGUAAGUUAUCUUAAGCAAUGAUUUGAUGUUUAACUGCUUUAUAAGUUGGAUAGUUGUGCAACUUUUUGUCAAAAUAUGCACUACAUACUGCAUAUUUUCAUAUGACAUAUCACUGUCAGAUACUUUUACUGUAACUAUCAGCGAUAUUUCCUAUUCCGGUUUUACUUUAACGAAUGCAUUGCCGAACAAUUUAGACUGGUUUACUCGUCAUUGUAACUUGUUCAAGGAUUGCAAUAUAUUUGCUAAAACCAGACUAGCUAAUCUUGGUAGUUUGGUUCUUGGCAGGACAUUUAAUAUCACUGAGCUUUUUUCCAAAUAUUUUGUAGGGAUUUUUGCCUAUCUAAAUUACUUGGUACCCAGAGAUAGAAAAUUUAUCAUCGAUACACUAAUAAAAGGCCUACAGCGUUUGGAAUACAGAGGUUAUGACUCAACUGGUAUGUUUUAAUACAUUUUCAAUUUGUUACAAAAUUUUGUGUAUAUUUUGAGAACUUCCUAUACUGGAAUUUUGCUUUCCAGGAAUUGGUAUUGAUGGUGAUGUUCAAUUGCAUGGCUCAGAUUUGAGGCAAAUAAAGUGAGU